rnacentral:rRNA from 1 species
UACGUAGGGGGCAAGCGUUAUCCGGAUUUACUGGGUGUAAAGGGAGCGUAGACGGCAAUGCAAGUCUGGAGUGAAAGGCGGGGGCCCAACUCCCGGACUGCUCUGGAAACUGUAUAGCUGGAGUGCAGGAGAGGUAAGUGGAAUUCCUAGUGUAGCGGUGAAAUGCGUAGAUAUUAGGAGGAACACCAGUGGCGAAGGCGGCUUACUGGACUGUAACUGACGUUGAGGCUCGAAAGCGUGGGGAGCAAACAGG